GACGAACGCUGGCGGCGUGCUUAACACAUGCAAGUCGAACGGAAAGGCCUGCUUUCCCUUGUGGAUUGCGGGUACUCGAGUGGCGAACGGGUGAGUAACACGUGAGUGAUCUGCCCCCAACUUGGGUAUAAGCCUGGGAAACUGGGUCUAAUUCCCGAUAGGACUGCAGGGUGGUGCCUGUGGUGGAAAACGAUUUUCUAGUGGUUGGGGAUGAGCUCGCGGCCUAUCAGCUUGUUGGUGGGGUGAUGGCCUACCAAGGCGGCGACGGGUAGCCGGCCUGAGAGGGUGGACGGCCACAUUGGGACUGAGAUACGGCCCAGACUCCUACGGGAGGCAGCAGUGGGGAAUAUUGCACAAUGGGCGGAAGCCUGAUGCAGCGACGCCGCGUGGGGGAUGACGGCCUUCGGGUUGUAAACUCCUUUCGACCGCGAGGAAGCCACCUGGUUGGAAGGGUGGUGACGGUAGUGGAAGAAGAAGCACCGGCUAACUACGUG
rnacentral:rRNA from 1 species